CAUCUCAAAGCUGGAAACCGUACUCAACGUAUCUCACGAUCUUAGAGCUGACAAACGCUGAAGAGUUUUGGGUGAGAAAUACAGAGAGCAAAGAUCGUCUCCCUGCUCAGGAUCCUCAUGGAAACAGAACCUUUUCCUCCCGUGUUCACCAGAGUUUAACCAAGUAGUGAUUAAGUGUGGGUACCAUGGUUCGUGUGGUGGCCAGGGUUCUGGAUUUGGGUGAGCCAGGGGUUUUGUGUGAAUAAUUUUAGGCCACCUUCAAGGUCAUGAGUGUGGGUAAAAUCUAGAGACCGAUGGCUGUAUUGCAGUGAGUGAGCCAGGCCUGAGGAAAUAUGGCUUGACAAAGUUUACCCCGAUUCUGUGACCCUGCUGGGAUGGCAGAAAAACUCAUUUUUGAUUGAGAACAGAAGCUGUGUUCAGGCCUCAGCUAGCAGAGAGUGUGGUCCUUUGUCUGGAGUUCUGAGAGGACACAUAUUUAUGAUGGGAGAAUAACAAGCUAACCAUACUUUUUUUUUUUUUUAAUUAGAAAAUGUGCCUUGGAGGGGAUGGAAAAACCACUUCUAAUAUUUAGAACUUUUACUGUUUAUUAGAUUGUUUAGUGAAUGUUGCAGCAGAGCCCAGGGGAUAUGUGGGAUUUCUGAGCAACUUUAAAUGAGCAGUUCCAUUUUAAUACAUGUGGCAGUAUGCCCUGUGGGCUCUGAACGCACCACACAAGUGCCUGACUUUAAUUGGUUGUAGCGCUGUCUGUAUAUAAAGGGCCCUCCCUCACCUGGUAGACAACACGUUCUCCUUCCGGUUCAGACUUCACUGUUUACUGGCGCUAUACGACUGACGCGCUUAAUCCAUUAAUUGCUGUUCAAGCCUUCUUCUGGUAAGAAGCUUCUCACACCUUUAAUAUCUGUAAGUCUAGCUUUAGCUCAGCUUUACUUGUAACAUCUAGGUGACUUGUACCAGCUGACUGCUUCUUCUCCCUGCCAGAGGCAUAACGCAUCAAGCUCAGUGACGCUGCUGUUUGUCCUUGGCCGGCUGCUUGCCCGUACUCUGUUGUCCUUGGUUGACGGUCCGUCCGCCUGUGACCUGGUUAUUCGUCGUCGGCUGACGGCGGCCUACCCGUCGCCCUGGUUGUCGGCUUCAUACCCGCUGUCCUGGUCGGCGUAAGCUGGCUUUUGACUCUCGUCCAGUGUGGCUGAUUCAGGCUGGUUUACGACCAGCUCGUCCUGAUCCCUCUGGUGCCGCUCUGGCUGGCGGUUGCUGUGGCGCGGCGGUUCGUCUCAGGACGGACUCCUAACUUGGACUGCUAUUGCUUGAUUUGUGAGGACUGAACUGUAUAACCAAGAAAUGUAUGUAAUUUGAAUGUCUUUUCUUUUGUUGACAGGAAUGGCCAGCUCGUGGUGUUGGUGGUGGACUUUCCGGGUGGUGGUACUUUCUUUGGUUUGGUGCACGAUUUUCUUUUAUUUGGUUUGCUGUGUUUCCUUUGUAGGUCCCUGCCAGCUUCGAGUUGAGCCGUAAAUGUCAUUUUAAUGUGUGCGUGAUUUUAAAUUAAUAUAUUUCUGACUAGAAAAUUGAAAUGAAUAAACUGAUUGGAUUGAGUGGAAUUGUCUCGUGCCUCAUAUGUAGCGGGCCUGUGUGCCUUAAAGGUAACUUUACAGUAUUAUUAAAUUAGUUAUCUUAAAAUUCAAGUUGCCAAUCGGGAAAGCAUAGGUACCGUCACAUACAACUGAACAUAUCCCAAUCAAAAAAAGAAAAAAUGACAAGGGAGGACUGUGUGGUGGUAACAACAAAAAAAAGUUCUGGACAUCUGGAAACUCUCCUCACAGUAGCCAUGUGAACCACGGACUGGAGUCUGGAGACAAGGUGAAGGUUAGGCCAGUGGUGAGACACUUUCCAUGGUCCCUGAAAACAGAAGAACUGCCAUCAGGGUUAUCCCUAUGCUUUACCCUCCACUUGACAAUUAUUUAAAAAGUGUUGGAUCCCUGGACAUGGAAGGUCAGAGUUGGACAUAAUUGCUGCACCAGAGAACAGAGACUGAACCUUUAAUGUCCCAACGAACACAGACACUUCUCUUCUCAGAGGGCUUGUGGCAAAACUAAAACUCUGAACUGUGGCUUCAUGACAAACCAGCCUGAGUUCCUUGAAAAGUUCUGCUGCUUCCUCCCAGCCUGGCCUCAGAGCUGCACACGUUUCAGCUUCAGGGACAUGCAGGACAGACAUGCCUCCUAAAUACUGUUCUGGGAACUAUAUGCUGAGUUAUUGUUUUAUUAUAAACUAGUUUCUAAAGCUAAUUAUUCCAUUUCUUUAUUCAUUUGAUGGACUGUGUGGUUUAAACUUCCUCCAUGCUUUAACAGUGCUGUGAAAAAGUACUUGCUUCCUCUCAGAUGAGUUUUUGCUUUGUGUCCCUCUUAAAUCAUUUAGAUCAAACUAAUCUUAGUAAAGGAUAAAGAUGACCUGAGUAAAUACAAAAAACUGUUUUCAGUUAAUGAUUUCAUUCACUAACAGGAGAGCUGUCCAACCCACCCUGGACCGAUGGGACAAAUAAUUGCCUUCUUAACCUUUUAACUAGUUUUGCCACCAUUUGCAGCAACAACUGGUAUUAAGAGUUUGUGAUAACAGGCAACGAGUCUUUAUAAUCAGCAGUGAAGAAUUUUGGCCAACUCUUCUGUGCAGAAAUGACGUCUUAACCGUCAUGAGGACAGCGAUGUCGUCGUGGAACCAUCGUCUGACAUACAGGCGUUUUGGGAGUGAUGUUAAAUCAAAAACAUUUAAGAGUGGUUGAAUGUGAACGGCACAUUUCAGGUCACACUAGAGCAUCUGAAUGUUUAUGUCUGACUUUCCUUCAGCUGAUUUAUUACAGUUCAGUUACAAACUGUUUCUUGUUUCUUCCAUUUGGUUUUUAUCUUUUUUGUUGUACAUUUCCAACUUCCAAAUCAUGGUGUUGACAGUUUUCUGUCGUCUUCUUUAGUCUUUGUGUGUUUUCAGUUUUACAAGCUGAUUGGAAACAACCAACAUGUUCUUGGUGCAAAUCCUUCCUGAAGCGGUGAUUUAAAAUCCUUUGAGCCGACGGACGUCUCGUGGGGAUCAUCAGUCUUUAUUCAUCACUGAGUGAUUCCAUCAUUUCUUUCUGCUGUAUUUCAUCUGACUGGUUGUUUUGUCCAUAAUUCAUCCUGAUGGCAAACAGAAGCUGAGCUAUUGGGCCACAUUAAGUAUGACAGUGUGAUGUCAUAUGUUGCUAUUUCUACCUCAGGGUGUUUAGCAGACAUUGGACAGUCUGAUGAAUGAGAACCUAGAACAUCAUAACAGAACCAGCUUCUCCAGAGCUGAUGUACCCUGAACGUCAAGCUAGCUGCUUUGUUUCCAGCAGAUAUUGAUGAAAAUCCCUUUAGACUUUGUGGCAGCGACUGAGGUGGAGAGCCCAGCAUCUCGGAGCUCAGUGGGUCCAGGACAGCAGAGGAGGAUCCAUGAUUGAAGCCAACAGUUUGCUAUGGAGGGCCUGUGGAGCCCGACCCAGACAGUUUCUAAUAAACAGAACCAGAAGACGAGCCCAGAUCAGCAGCAAUGAUAACCACUCACACAUCCCAAGAAAUAUAAUGUCUGUAAGCUGGAAGAACAGAAAGAGAUGAGAUUAGUGAAGGAACCUGCAACAGGAACAAAAGAACAAGUUUAUUAAAAAAGCUGAGCAACUUUUCUGUUGUUCUCUAACUCACUGGGAUUUUUGUAGCUGCUGCUGACUGAAAGCAUUAGAAGUGUGUAAAGAUGAUUCCUGCAAACCAAAAGGAGUUAAAAUUUUACUGACAGAAAAAAUGAGCUGCUUUCUAAAAUAGAUUUGACCGUUUCUAAUAAAUGUUGAAACUAAAAAUGGAAUGGAAUAAAAAUGCUAUUUAGAGA